GUAGGUGAACCUGCGGAAGGAUCAUUACCGAGUUCAUGCCCUCACGGGUAGACCUCCCACCCUUUGUAUACCUUACUUUGUUGCUUUGGCGGGCCGCCUAGCUACCGGCUUCGGCUGGUAAGUGCCCGCCAGAGAACCCCAAACCCAAACCCAUUUAUAGUGUCGUCUGAGAAAAAGUUUAAUAUUUAAAACUUUCAACAACGGAUCUCUUGGCUCUG
rnacentral:misc_RNA from 1 species